rnacentral:rRNA from 1 species
UACGUAGGUGGCAAGCGUUGUCCGGAUUUAUUGGGCGUAAAGGGGGCGCAGGCUGCUUCUUAAGUCUGAUGUGAAAGCCCACGGCUUAACCGUGGAAGUGCAUUGGAAACUGGGAAGUUUGAGUACAGAAGAAGAAAGUGGAACUCCAUGGGUAGCGGUGGAAUGCGUAGAUAUAUGGAAGAACACCAGUGGCGAAAGCGACUUUCUGGUCUGUCACUGACGCUGAGGCCCGAAAGCGUGGGUAGCAAACAGGAUUAGAUACCCUGGUAGUC